UUAUGGCAUCCCUGUCUGUUCAUCCUCUCUUGCCUGUUGCCUCUCUCUGCUUAUGUCAGAUUAUGCUGACAAAACGGUUCUUGCAGCAGCACAAGAUCAGCCUUUCCCCACCAACAGCUGUGCUGGCAAAGCUACAGGGGCACUGUACUGCAGCUUGGAAACCAG
rnacentral:lncRNA from 12 species